UUGCUUGUUUGUAUGAUUGAUUCAGCCAUGCAUGUCUACGGGCUGUCUUUGGUACAGCGCAACCAUGAAUCGCUCAAUCAAUCAGAUAUAAUUUGUUUGAUUUUAAACUGGACUUGGAUAGGAGUGGGAAAUCUAGAGCUUACACAUGCGCUCAAGCUUUGGCUUUGGGGAACGGGUGCAGUUCUUAGACCAUACCCAUUCGUGCUCUCGGGCUCGAGCAACUGUUUGGUGACUCUGGAUAACUAUAAGCGGAUCGCAUGGCUUUGUGCCAGCGACAUAUCUUUCAAGUGUCUGACCUAUCAACUGACGAUGGUACGUGAUAUGCCUACCAUGGUGAUAACGGGUAACGGAGAAUAAGGGUUCGACUCCGGAGAGGGAGCCUGAGAAAUGGCUACCACAUCCAAGGAUGGCAGCAGGCGCGCAAAUUACCCACUCUCAGUACGAGGAGGUAGUGACGAAAAAUAACAAUGCGGGACUCUUUAUGAGGCCUCGCAAUUGGAAUGAGCGCACUUUAAAACGUUCGACGAGGAUCUAUUGGAGGGCAAGUCUGGUGCCAGCAGCCGCGGUAAUUCCAGCUCCAAUAGCGUAUAUUAAAGUUGUUGCAGUUAAAAAGCUCGUAGUUGGAUCUGGGGCUCGGGUCAACGGUUUGCUGCCAUGCAGCUACUGCUGUACUCUCGACCCUUACUAGCCGGUGCGUUUGCUGUUUGUGCUCUUCACUGAGUGCCUGCAAAGCCUGGCAUGUUUACUUUGAAAAAAUUAGAGUGCUCAAAGCAGGCGCUAGCGCCUGAAUAGUGUUGCAUGGAAUAAUGGAAUAAGACCUCGGUUCUAUUUUGUUGGUUUUCGGAAUUAGAGGUAAUGAUUAAGAGGGACGGUCGGGGGCACUCGUAUUUCGGUGUUAGAGGUGAAAUUCUUGGAUCGCUGAAAGACGGACAAACGCGAAAGCAUUUGCCAAGAAACCAUUCUAAUCGUCUAUGGUUUGAUUCGCGUUUCAGAGACGCGACUGUGACGACCACCGACUGAGAGGUCAGCACCAAUCCCCCCGCUGGCGGUCAGUUACCUCCAUUGUUUCUUCUGGCGACCCUUAGCGGCACAUGAUAAAGCUUAGGCGAGAGAGUUCAAUCGUGUUCUGCCCGGGGUCCGGUACUGCGGAGGGAGUAGCGGAGUUCGCGUAUCCUGCGUAUAUGCACGGCCCGGACGCCAUACCAAAAAAAAAUAAAGACUGGCCUCCGUUCGGUUUGUCGUUACGCAAUCUUCGCCU
rnacentral:rRNA from 1 species